rnacentral:rRNA from 1 species
UACGGACGGGGCGAGCGUUGUUCGGAAUCAUUGGGCGUAAAGGGCGCGUAGGUGGUUCUGUAUGUCUACCGUGAAAGCGUACGGCUCAACCGUAUUUUGUCGGUGGAAACUGCAGGACUUGAGGCUGGGAGGGGCUGGUGGAAUUCCCUGUGUAGCGGUGAAAUGCGUAGAGAUGGGGGAGAACACUCGUGGCGAAGGCGGCCAGCUAGACCAGUUCUGACACUGAGGCGCGACAGCGUGGGGAGCAAACAGG